GUACACUCCUGCGGGAGGCAGCAGUGGGGAAUAUUGCACAAUGGGCGGAAGCCUGAUGCAGCAACGCCGCGUGCGGGAUGACGGCCUUCGGGUUGUAAACCGCUUUCGCCUGUGACGAAGCGUGAGUGACGGUAAUGGGUAAAGAAGCACCGGCUAACUACGUGCCAGCAGCCGCGGUGAUACGUAGGGUGCGAGCGUUGUCCGGAUUUAUUGGGCGUAAAGGGCUCGUAGGUGGUUGAUCGCGUCGGAAGUGUAAUCUUGGGGCUUAACCCUGAGCGUGCUUUCGAUACGGGUUGACUUGAGGAAGGUAGGGGAGAAUGGAAUUCCUGGUGGAGCGGUGGAAUGCGCAGAUAUCAGGAGGAACACCAGUGGCGAAGGCGGUUCUCUGGGCCUUUCCUGACGCUGAGGAGCGAAAGCGUGGGGAGCGAACAGGCUUAGAAACCCUAGUAGUCCCAUGAU
rnacentral:rRNA from 1 species